UCUUCAUUUCCUUUUAAUAACAUUAAGUUGGAAUUCCAACUAAGAGGCCUCGUCUAUCAUUCUUCUAUUAACACCGCAGACAGAGGUCGUGGGCUACCUCAGUCCUUGAUGGGGAAAUGGAUUUCGAAACACCGAUCUUCAAAGACAGCCAACUCUCACUUCAAACACCCGCCACCAACUGCCAAUCACGUUCUCUUCCCGAAGACGACAAACACAACAGAAAUGCUAAUCAAGCUGGAUCCCGCAUCUACAAACGGUUUGAAAGGACGUCCAAAACCCCUCCCAUCCAUCCGUCCAACCAGGCUUUGCUGCUUUGCUCGUGAGUCAAUGACUUCACUCGUCUGAGUCUGGAUGGGGACGCUUUUUCCACCCAGCAACGAAUAGGAAGUCCACAAAGCGAGCUUCGAGGGUUAUGGUCGUAUAAAUCAUAAGUCUACCCCUUGUAUCCGUGCAACCCAGCCCAUUCAGAGGCCUUCACCUUCCAUGAGACUCCUCAGGGCCCACGAUGAUGCGGUCGUGUGAUCAAAGAUCUCGUGGACAUCACAACAGGUCUCUGUCGAGACCCCAGACCCAAGCCCAGGCCCAGACCCCAGAACCCAGGCC